rnacentral:rRNA from 1 species
AACGAACGCUGGCGGCAUGCCUAACACAUGCAAGUCGAACGAAGGCUUCGGCCUUAGUGGCGCACGGGUGCGUAACGCGUGGGAAUCUGCCCUUAGGUUCGGAAUAACAGUUAGAAAUGACUGCUAAUACCGGAUGAUGACGUAAGUCCAAAGAUUUAUCGCCUGAGGAUGAGCCCGCGUAGGAUUAGCUAGUUGGUGUGGUAAAGGCGCACCAAGGCGACGAUCCUUAGCUGGUCUGAGAGGAUGAUCAGCCACACUGGGACUGAGACACGGCCCAGACUCCUACGGGAGGCAGCAGUGGGGAAUAUUGGACAAUGGGCGCAAGCCUGAUCCAGCAAUGCCGCGUGAGUGAUGAAGGCCUUAGGGUUGUAAAGCUCUUUUACCCGUGAUGAUAAUGACAGUAGCGGGAGAAUAAGCCCCGGCUAACUCCGU